rnacentral:rRNA from 1 species
UUAAGCCCAUUAGCGCCGAUGGUACUGCAUUUGUGGGAGAGUAGGUCGUUGCCUUUU